rnacentral:rRNA from 1 species
UAAAGAUUCAUCGCUGAUAGAUAGGCAUGCGUUCCAUUAGGCAGUUGGCGGGGUAACGGCCCACCAAACCGACGAUGGAUAGGGGUUCUGAGAGGAAGGUCCCCCACAUUGGUACUGAGACACGGACCAAACUCCUACGAGAGGCAGCAGUGAGGAAUAUUGGUCAAUGGGCGUAAGCCUGAACCAGCCAAGUCGCGUGAGGGAUGAAGGUUCUAUGGAUCGUAAACCUCUUUUAUAAGGGAAUAAAGUGCGGGACGUGUCCCGUUUUGUAUGUACCUUAUGAAUAAGGAUCGGCUAACUCCGUGCCAGCAGCCGCGGUAAUACGGAGGAUCCGAGCGUCAUCCGGAUUUAUUGGGUUUAAAGGGUGCGUAGGCGGCCUUUUAAGUCAGCGGUGAAAGUCUGUGGCUCAACCAUAGAAUUGCCGUUGAAACUGGGAGGCUUGAGUAUGUUUGAGGCAGGCGGAAUGCGUGGUGUAGCGGUGAAAUGCUUAGAUAUCACGCAGAACCCCGAUUGCGAAGGCAGCCUGCCAAGCCAUGACUGACGCUGAUGCACGAAAGCGUGGGGAUCAAACAGGAUUAGAUACCCUGGUAGUCCACGCAGUAA